CAAGGUUUCCGUAGGGGAACCUGCGGAAGGAUCAUUG
rnacentral:rRNA from 1 species